GUCAGGAUGAACGCUAGCGACAGGCCUAACACAUGCAAGUCAGGGGCAGCACAAGGAGCAAUCUGAGGUGGCGACCGGCGCACGGGUGAGUAACACGUAUGUAACCUGCCUGUAAGCGGGGAAUAACCCGUUGAAAGACGGACUAAUACCGCAUAAUACUAAAUUACUGCAUGGUAAUUUAUUUAAACAUUUAUGGCUUACAGAUGGGCAUGCGCAUGAUUAGCUAGUUGGAGAGGUAACGGCUCCCCAAGGCAACGAUCAUUAGGGUUCUGAGAGGAAGGUCCCCCACACUGGUACUGAGACACGGACCAGACUCCUACGGGAGGCAGCAGUGAGGAAUAUUGGUCAAUGGACGAGAGUCUGAACCAGCCAAGUCGCGUGCAGGAAGAAUUGUCCUAUGGAUUGUAAACUGCUUUUGCAGGGGAAUAAAGUGCAUCACGUGUGAUGUUUUGUAUGUACUCUGCGAAUAAGGAUCGGCUAACUCCGUGCCAGCCGCCGC
rnacentral:rRNA from 1 species